rnacentral:lncRNA from 1 species
UACAGACUCCAUCCCCCGUUUACUAUUUCUUUCCUAUUUUUAUUUUAAAUUGCGGUUAUGUUUAGCGCAAUUGCUGAGAAUUGUGAGAAAUUGUAGUUGCGAAGCUGUUGUUGAAACUCGUGAAACCUCAGUAUUGUGUAUGCAAUUGCGGUUUUAGUUUCAAGGAUAAAAUUGUCAUUUCAUGAGAGGUAGUUUCAAGGAGAUAAAAAUGUCAUUAUAAGUAAAAGUAGAAUGAUAUAACAAUCAUUACAUUGUGUUUCUUUUUUCUUUUUACAACACUUCCCUGGUAAUAGAGGAGUCUGGCUCCAUAAAACUCUACUUAUACUUGUAAUGACAUUUUUAUCCUUGAAAUUGCUUACCUUUAUGGUGAUAGAGGAGUCUAGCUCGAUCUUGUUAAGGAGUCCAAACAUAAAGUUUACAUUAUAAAGUACUACACUUGAGUUUUCAUAGUAUUGAAUGCAUUGCUUUCCUAUACACGUUCUAUCUUGAAUUCCCUCAUUUAUAAUUCUUAGUUGGGCAUAUAAUUAUGGUCUGUUUGUAAGUUAGAUUUUGGAUGGUAAAAGAGGGAAAGAAAGGCUUCAAAACUAUGAAUCACACUUGUGAGAUGACUCUGAAGAUUACUUUCAUUUCCUUCCCAAAUCCAACUCGCAAACAAACCCUUAGUUACACAAACUUAUUAUUGUAUGCCAUAUGUAUUACUGAAAUUAUUAUUUGAUGUGUAUAAGAUUGUGGAAAGCAUGUUACAAGUGGAUAUCUAUAUUUGAAGGACAGGAGUUAGAUGAAGUUUGUUUAGAUGUUUAUGGUACUAUUCUCCAAUAAAAACAUAACAUGUUAGCAAUUUUCUUAUGUUUUCAUUAAUAAGUUUUAAGAAUACUGGAUGGCAAUAGUACAAGCACUCUUGUGCCAUUUACAACUGUCUUUAAAGAUUUCAAAUAAUGACUGAAGUGCGUAAGUGAUUAUGACAGUCACAGAACAUGAUUACCUAAGAAUUUUUCUUAAGGGUUUCCAAUUGUGGUUUAUAUUCCUGUGGUUUCACAUUAUUGGAGAGUCUAACACUUCUUGUACUAAAAUCAUAUGUGUAUGUUAUGUGGAGUAACUUCCUAUGUAUGUGUAGAAGCUCCCAAAAGAUGUUGAAGCCAAUUAGUUUAUGCCCAUGAGUGUGUUAAUAUUUUACUUUAAUAAGUGAUGCUCAAGUAUUGAUUGUAUGAUUUUAAUGGAUAAAUGGAUUAGUGUAUGAUGGUUCAUGUUUUGUCUUUGAAAAUGAAGGCUGUUAUAAGUUAAGUUAAAAGGUCUUUAUGAGUUCGGUCGCAAAGUUAGUUGUAACUUACAGUAUAUAUUCCCAGAAAAGCAGAAAAUGCUCAUUAGCCAUUUGGUUAGGGGUUUCCCCCCUCCACAAUAGUGAAGAAACAGUUCCUAAUUGCCAAUGUAAGCCGAAACAAACAAACUGUGAACUUACCAGCAAGCUUAUUACUCAAUUGACACUGGCUUCAAAAAUGGGAUGUUAUGAUGUUGUUUUAGGUUUCAUCCUCCACCUGAUAGUCUAUCCACUUCCCUACCCAUUUGCUUGCAUCUCCAAUGUGCCAAAGUAAACAAAGAAAAGAAAAUAUUGAAGUCAGGGGACAAGGCACGAUGUUGUGGGACUUAGGAUCUGGCUAGGCAAAUCGGGGUUGUGUUUCCUCUGAGUUUGCACUGUAUAUAUAUGAUAAUGAAAUAUAUAGGGGAAGGUUUUUCCCUAUCAAAAACUAUCUCCAAUACUUGAGAUGAUCUUGUGAUGAAAUGUUAAUUUGAUUUGAAUAGAAUGGGGUGAUGAGGAUCUAACACUUGUCCACUUUGUCUCAGAGAUUUUGAUUCCAUGAAGAUGUUUCAAUCAUGCUAUGUUAUGCCAUUCCUUAUAGUAUGUAGAUGUCCAUAUUACAUGCAGGAAUGUGAUAAGUGAUAAGAAAAGUUUAAAUACAGCGAAACUAAUGUUUGAAUUCUUGACGGGGUCCCAUUUUUAUGCUUUUCUAUUCUGAUUUCUGAAGAAUUUAUGAGAAUUCAUAAUUGUUUAAAUGGAGGAACCAUUUUUGUUGGACUAUGCAGUCAAGGUGUAUCUUAAUUUCUGCCCCUUGAGAUUUAACACCUGAUAAUAUUUUGUGCCACAUAUGUUUAUCAGCUUUGGUUUUGCUUGAUAACUAGAAAAUCAACAUUUUUCAUGGCGGAGAUAUUCCUUUUAAGCUGUUUGCUUGAAAGAUUCUUUCUUGUUAUGUAAUUUUAUUAACUAAUCCUUCACCCAUUAGCACUUGUUAAUUUGUUGACUUCCCUCAUUAACUUUGCUUGCAGCCCAAUUGACUUUGUAGUCAAUGGCUCAAUGCUGCUAUACAUGCAUAAAAUAAGGCAUAGAAAGCCUACCGUAAGAACUAG